CCCUUUUAUAUACAGACCCCAUUAUUACCCGAGUCAUAUGAUCUGAUACAGACCCCAUUAAUACCUGAGUCACAUGAUCUGAUACAGACCCCAUUAAUACCUGAGUCACAUGAUCUGAUACAGACCCCAUUAAUACCUGAGUCACAUGAUCUGAUACAGACCCCAUUAAUACCUGAGUCACAGGAUCUGAUACUGACCCCAUUAAUACCUGAGUCACAGGAUCUGAUACUGACCCCAUUAAUGCCUGAGUCACAUGAUCUGAUACAAACCCCAUUAAUGCCCGAGUCACGUUGUAUAAUGAUUGGAGACAGGCACAGGAAUAAUAUAUUUAUUUAUUUCACUACCCAAAAUAGACUAUAACAGGGCUGUUAGGUGUAGGUAAUCAGACUAUAACAGGGCUGUUAGCUGAUAGGUGUAGGUAAUCAGACUAUAACAGGGCUGUUAGAUGAUAGGUGUAGGUAAUCAGACUAUAACAGGGCUGAUAGGUAAUCAGACUAUAACAGGGCUGUGUUGUUAGCUGAUAGGUGUAGGUAAUCAGACCAUCGUUUACUGUUGGACUUAAAGGGAUACAUCAGGAUUUUGGCAACAAGGCCCUUUAUCUACUUACCCAGAGUCAGAUGAACUUGUGGAUACCAUUUGUAUGUCUCUGUGUCCAAUAUGAUGAAAGUUAGAGGUAGUUUCACAAGCCAAUGCUAACUAGCGUUAGCGCAUUGACUGGAAG
rnacentral:lncRNA from 1 species